UAUAUUAGCGAAGCUAGGGGGUGCAACCAACACACACCAUCCUUGUGACUUGUCUGUUUUCUUCACCUUUCACCAAUAAAAAACGCAUUUUUACAUUCGUACUGAACUUUCUUCGUUUCCGCCACCCCCUUCUCUCUCUCCCCUCCGCAACGCAAUCUUGCUCCAAACCCUUCGAUCUCUCAACUUUCCGGUUUAUGCAUGAUUGGAGGUGAAGCUGUGAUUUGAUUACAUAGUUGUUCAAAAUGGGUUUUGAUAAUGAAUGUAUAAUCAAUAUUCAAUCACUUGCUGGAGAGUAUUUUUGUCCCGUUUGUCGCCUUCUCGUGUUUCCGAAUGAAGCUUUGCAGUCACAAUGCACUCAUUUAUAUUGCAAACCAUGUUUGACGUAUGUCGUCGGUACCACCAGGGCGUGUCCUUAUGAUGGUUAUUUGGUCACCGAGGCCGAUUCAAAGCCGUUGAUUGAGUCGAAUAAGACAUUGGCGGAAACGAUUGGGAAAAUAGCUGUUCAUUGUUUGUAUCAUAGGAGUGGAUGUUCAUGGCAAGGAACUUUGUCUGAUUGUACAUCUCAUUGUAAAGGAUGUUCUUUUGGAAAUUAUCCUGUUGUUUGCAACAGGUGCGGGCUUCAAAUAGUGCAUCGUCAAGUAGAAGAACAUGCACAAACUUGUUCGGGUCAGCUACAGCAAGGGGCGGUUACCGGCCAGGAUUCUUCAGCUACCAGUGCUACUGCUGUUGCAUCUACUGAUCAGACCCAGGUUGCGGUUGCUGCUCCAGCUGCGGCAACAGCUUCGCAACCUGCGGCUUCUCAAACAGCUGUUGCAACUACUGCAGCUGGGCAUGUUGCGAAUCAGCUACCAAAUUCAGCAUCUCAAACCCAAGCUUUAGGUCAAACUGUUGUGCAGCCAACGGCGGAGCAAUGGUAUCAACAGCAGCAACAAUAUCAACAAUACUACCAGCAAUACCCCGGACAAGAUCCAUACCAACAGCAGUAUCAACAGUAUUACCCCUAUCAACAGUCUGCUGUUCCACAAUACCAACAGGCCUAUGUCCAGCCUCAACCUCUGCCACAGACACAGACACAGCCACAGCCCCAGUUGCAGGCUCAACCUCCAGCACAGCCUCAGGUUCAAGGACAGUCUCAGCCAGUGUCACAUGUGCAGACUCCUGUGGCCCCACAAUCUCAGAAUCAGAUGCAAGUUCCCCAACAACCACAGCAGCUUCAACCUGCUGUACAGCCACAUGGGCAGAUGAGUCACCCACCUGGCCAUGGUCAAGCCUUCCCCCAGCCUCAGUCUUAUCCUUACCCUCAAGUUCAGCCUCAUUCUGGGCAACCUCAACCUCAACAACAUACUCAAAUCCCUCCUUAUCAGCAACCUCAUCCUCAAAUGCAGCAUUCACAGCCUCAAAAUCAGCAACCAGUUCAGAAGUAUCCUGUCCCUCAACCUCAACAACAAUUGCAACCUAAUAAUGCUCCAGUUCAACAUCCUUCUCAGCCUCAGAUGCAAUCUCACCAACCCAUGAAUCCUAAUGUACAACCUCAAGUGCAAAAUGCAAUGUCACAUGCAGUGACAGGGAAUCACUCUUAUCCCCAACCUCUGCCUCAUCAGAAUAUGCAAAUGGGAGCCCCUCAAUCUAAUAUGCACUUGAAUCCCCAAAGCGGGCCUCAACUCCCGGGCCAGCAUUCCGUCCAGAUGCAGAAUCAGUUUCCUCCGCAAACUCCAAUGAUGCGCCCAAAUCAGUCUCAUGCUAUGUAUCCUAACCAACAGCCAGGUUUUAUGCCUUCAGCUGUUCAAGGUCAAAACACGCCUCCUCUACAACAGCAGCAAGGAUAUACUCCUAAUCAGCCAACUGGGCAAACCAACCAACGUCCUAUUUUGCAACCGGGUCAACAAAUAUUACCUCAGCAACCAUUUUCACAACACCAGAUGCCUAUGCCAUCUCAUCCACGACCGCAAGGUCCAGUACAUUCAUUUCCCAAGCAUGCUUAUCCACUGUCGAAGGGUAAUACUGCACUAUCUCAAAAUGCCGUUGGAAGACCUCCCAACCAUGCAGGGCAUGUACAGCCAUUUGCACAAUCUGCCAAUACAAUUCCUGUUAGACCAGGGAAUCAGAAUUUGUUGGUUGGGACCAAUAAUCAAGUGCAUUCAAGGGCACAGGGUGAUGUCACAGAGCAACAAACUGACUCUACCUCUGGGAAAAUUGGAAAGAGUGAGUUGAAAUCUGAAAGAGAAACAAAUUUGAAAGCAACUGAGGUUGGGAGUAAGCAAAAUAGCGAAGAUCCACACUCUUUGAAGACUUUAGACCCAAAUGCUAAUGCAUUAGAAAAUGGUGAUACAUUGAAUAAGAAUGUUGAGAAGGGAGAGGCUUCUGAAGGAACCGGGGUUCAACAUAAUAAUAAUGAUCAAUCUGUUAUUCAAGGCAAUGCGAUUCAAGAUGGACCUCCAGUGAAGGCAGAGACUAAACUCUCUGAAUCAGAAACUAAUAAGCUGCACAGUGAUGACAGACCUCCUUCUGGUGCUGUCAAUCCCGCACCAGCUGUCUCUCAAACCAAUGGUGGUCAUAGACCUGGCAUUGAUGAAUAUAAAGGGGAUUUAGCUCAGCCAUCUCAUCCAGCUUCUUUCCAGCAGAGAUCUUCUGCAGUGUUGACAUCACAAUUGCCACUUCCAUCAGGUCCAAAUCAGCCUCUCUCUGCAGCAAAUGUUUCAACUCUUCUCAGGAAUCAUGGAACUGCACCUGCUCUUCCUUCAGGACAGCCCUUAAACUCAAUGGAUAAUUUUCAGCCAACCAUGUUCAAGCAACCACAUGGUUCUGACGCCCAGUUUAAUAUUCCAGGGCACACCUUUCAACCCCAGCCUCAUGGUGGACCCCCUGCAGGACUGUUUAACCAAGUUCAUGAACCGCCAUUCCAUUCCGGAGCUUCCAAUUUUUCUCGAAGUGGAGGGCCACAGUUUGGUGCCCCACCACAUGGAGAUAUGCACGGUGGAAUGACAGCCAACUUUCAACCACAUGCCCGUGAAGGUUUUGGUGUGCAGGAUGAAAGGUUCAAAUCUUUCCAGAUUCAUAGUCAACAAAAUAUUGAUAGGAGAGAGUUUGAAGAUGAUCUCAGGAAAUUCCCCAGGCAUGAAGCUGGAAAGAGACCAUUUGGUUUUCGUGAUGAUGCCAUCAAUAAACCAGGUUCAACUCUUCAUCCUGGUCAUCUUGGACCAGGUCCUGGAUACGGAAUACAUCGUAUGGAUGGUAUGGCUCCAAGAAGUCCUGGUAGUGAAUACAUUGAUAUGCCUUCCCGGAGAUUGGGGCCCCUCUCUGGUAGUCUUAUUAGUAAGUCAGGUAUAGAUGAUUUUGAAGGCAGAACUGCAAGUCGAUUAGGUGAUUCAGCUGGCAUUGCAUUCCGUGAUGGUCGGUUUCCUCAUCCCCCUAGCCAUUUGCAUAGAGAUGAGUUUGAUGGUUUUGGUAACUUGCGAAUGGGUGAACAUCCAAGGAGGGGAAAUUUCAUUGGUCAGGAUGAAUUUGCUGGCCAUUUCCAAAGAGGUGAACAUUUGGGUCCACAUGAUUUUCCCAGACAUUUGCAGCUUGGGGAGCGUAUUGGUUUUGGCGAUCAUCCUGGUCAUAUGCGAGCCUUUGAACUUAGUGGUUCACGGAGUUUUGAAUCUUUUACCAAAGGCAACAGGCCAGGUCAUCCACAGCUUGGUGAACCUGGGUUUAGGAGCAGCUUUUCCCUUGCAGGACUUAAUAAUGAUGCUGGAUUUUUAACAGGAGAUACCAGGUCGUUUGAUAAUUUGAGGAGAAGAAAGGCUGCCAGUAUGGGGUGGUGCCGGAUAUGUAAAGUCGACUGUGAAACAGUUGAAGGUUUAGAAUUGCAUUCUCAAACAAGGGAGCACCAGAAGAUGGCCAUGGAUAUAGUUAAAACAAUCAAACACAAUGCGAAGAAACAGAAACUAAUACCCAGUGAACAAUCCUCAGUUGAAGAUGGAAACAAGACACGGGCUACUGGUUUUGAGGGUCAUGGAAAUAAGCAUUGAGUGGUUGUGAUUUGCGGUUGUUAUGGUUGCAGCUAUCAUGUUAAAUGGAAAUGCGUUUUGGAUCUGAUGUCCUGUGGCAGUUAAGUCAUUUCAAGUUGCAGCUAUCAUGUUAAAUGGAGAUGCUUUUUGGAUCUGAUGUCCUGUGGCAGCGGGCGGAUCCAGACAUUUGGUACAUGUGGGGCUAAAAUCUGACAAACAUUUGCGGUUGCUACCGGCAAAAGGAAAGCUAACCUCAAAAGCUUAUGAAUUGUAGCAAAUAUGUCGCACUUGUUUGUUUCCACAAGUUUUGCACAAGAAUCGCUUCCUAGUUAAAGAUUAUACCAUCUUUCUAUCACAAUGUUGGGAGCUUUCAUUGAAGUGGUGAGAUAGACUUCUUGAUUGGCGAUUCUGGGUCUCAAUCUCUACCUUGUCAAUGUGUGUUUUUUAUCAGGUAGAGGAACCUUAUAUCUCUAUGUCGUAUCCAGUUGGGAGUUAUCUGCCGAGAAUGACUCUUGAAGAGGAUCGAGUUCGUGGCACAAGUUUGAUUAGAAAAUUGAUUUUGAGUGGAUAAAUUUAGUAUGGUGUUUUUAAUCUUAUCCUUCUGUAUUGACAUAGAAAUUUGAAAACUUUCAAAUUAUGGUUAGAAGUUCUUUUUUUA